AGCUCAGUUAGCGUAUUUCAAAGUUGUUGCGGUUAAAAAGCUCGUAGUUGGAUCUGUGUCUCGCACCGCCGGUUCACCGCCCGUCGGUGUUUAAACUGGCGCGCUGCGAGAUGUCCUGCCGGUGGUGCGUCUAGCUAUCCCCUUCGGGGGCAUGGGCGGCGCCGAGCAAAUCCCUUCGCGGUGCUCUUUAUCGAGUGUCGAGGUGGGCCGGCACGUUUACUUUGAACAAAUUAGAGUGCUCAAAGCAGGCUGAUGACGCCUGAAUAUAUCUGCAUGGAAUAAUGGAAUAGGACUUCGGUUCUAUUUUGUUUGGUUUUCGGAACCAGAAGUAAUGAUAAAUGGAGACAGGCGGGGGCAUUCGUAUUGCGACGUUAGAGGUGAAAUUCUUGGAUCGUCGCAAGACGGACUGAAGCGAAAGCAUUUGCCAAGGAUGUUCUCGUUG
rnacentral:rRNA from 1 species